CAGUCGCCGCGGUAAUACGUAGGGUGCAAGCGUUAAUCGGAAUUACUGGGCGUAAAGCGUGCGCAGGCGGUUAUAUAAAACAGAUGUGAAAUCCCCGGGCUCAACCUGGGAACUGCAUUUGUGACUGUAUAGCUAGAGUACGGCAGAGGGGGAUGGAAUUCCGCGUGUAGCAGUGAAAUGCGUAGAUAUGCGGAGGAACACCGAUGGCGAAGGCAAUCCCCUGGGCCUGUACUGACGCUCAUGCACGAAAGCGUGGGGAGCAAACAGGAUUAGAUACCCCUGUAGUCCCUGUCUCUUAUAC
rnacentral:rRNA from 1 species